rnacentral:tRNA from 1 species
GGGGCCGUAGCUCAGUUUGGAUAGAGCGAAGGUUUCCUAAACCUUAGGUCGGCAGUUCGAGUCUGCCCGGCCCCA